UACGAAGGGUGCAAGCGUUACUCGGAAUUACUGGGCGUAAAGCGUGCGUAGGUGGUUCGUUAAGUCAGAUGUGAAAGCCCCGGGCUCAACCUGGGAAUUGCAUUUGAUACUGGCGGGCUAGAGUGCGGUAGAGGAGAGUGGAAUUCCCGGUGUAGCGGUGAAAUGCGUAGAGAUCGGGAGGAACAUCAGUUGCGAAGGCGGCUCUCUGGACCAGCACUGACACUGAGACACGAAAGCGUGGGGAGCAAACAGG
rnacentral:rRNA from 1 species